CCUACGGGCGGCAGCAGUGGGGAAUAUUGGACAAUGGGGGGAACCCUGAUCCAGCCAUGCCGCGUGUGUGAAGAAGGCCCUCGGGUUGUAAAGCACUUUCAGUGAGGAAGAACGCCUGGUGGUUAAUACCCAUCAGGAAAGACAUCACUCACAGAAGAAGCACCGGCUAACUCCGUGCCAGCAGCCGCGGUAAUACGGAGGGUGCGAGCGUUAAUCGGAAUUACUGGGCGUAAAGCGCGCGUAGGUGGCUUGAUAAGCCGGUUGUGAAAGCCCCGGGCUCAACCUGGGAACGGCAUCCGGAACUGUCAAGCUAGUGCAGGAGAGGAAGGUAGAAUUCCCGGUGUAGCGGUGAAAUGCGUAGAGAUCGGGAGGAAUACCAGUGGCGAAGGCGGCCUUCUGGACUGACACUGACACUGAGGUGCGAAAGCGUGGGUAGCAAACAGGAUUAGAUACCCGGGUAGUC
rnacentral:rRNA from 1 species